UACGAAGGGUGCAAGCGUUAAUCGGAAUUACUGGGCGUAAAGCGUGCGUAGGCGGUUUGUUAAGUCUGCUGUGAAAUCCCCGAGCUCAACUUGGGAAUUGCAGUGGAUACUGGCAGGCUGGAGUAUGGUAGAGGAAGGUGGAAUUCCCGGUGUAGCAGUGAAAUGCGUAGAGAUCGGGAGGAACACCAGUGGCGAAGGCGGCCUUCUGGACCAAUACUGACGCUCAUGCACGAAAGCGUGGGGAGCAAACAGG
rnacentral:rRNA from 1 species